UUAGUGAUACUUAGCAGUAUAUAGUGACAACCUAGUAGAACUGAAAUGAAUCUCUAGAUGUAGUUAACAUGUGAUUCAGUCCUUUUAUCAUGAGUCCCGACUUGAUGGCAGGUCAUGGAUAAAUUGUCAAACCUCAACAUCAGUCAUAUGAUAGAUUCGAUUAGCACAAGUCCAAAAGUGAUUCCUAUGGAAACUCUUUUCCA
rnacentral:lncRNA from 1 species